rnacentral:rRNA from 1 species
AAGUCGUACCAGGGUAACCGUGCUUGCUCUGUGGGAUCAGUGGCGAACGGGUGAGUAACACGUGAGCAACCUGCCCCUGACUCUGGGAUAAGCGCUGGAAACGGCGUCUAAUACUGGAUAUGUGACGUGACCGCAUGGUCUGCGUUUGGAAAGAUUUUUCGGUUGGGGAUGGGCUCGCGGCCUAUCAGCUUGUUGGUGAGGUAAUGGCUCACCAAGGCGUCGACGGGUAGCCGGCCUGAGAGGGUGACCGGCCACACUGGGACUGAGACACGGCCCAGACUCCUACGGGAGGCAGCAGUGGGGAAUAUUGCACAAUGGGCGCAAGCCUGAUGCAGCAACGCCGCGUGAGGGAUGACGGCCUUCGGGUUGUAAACCUCUUUUAGCAGGGAAGAAGCGAAAGUGACGGUACCUGCAGAAAAAGCGCCGGCUAACUACGUGCCAGCAGCCGCGGUAAUACGUAGGGCGCAAGCGUUAUCCGGAAUUAUUGGGCGUAAAGAGCUCGUAGGCGGUUUGUCGCGUCUGCUGUGAAAUCCCGAGGCUCAACCUCGGGCCUGCAGUGGGUACGGGCAGACUAUAGUGCGGUAGGGGAGAUUGGAAUUCCUGGUGUAGCGGUGGAAUGCGCAGAUAUCAGGAGGAACACCGAUGGCGAAGGCAGAUCUCUGGGCCGUAACUGACGCUGAGGAGCGAAAGGGUGGGGAGCAAACAGGCUUAGAUACCCUGGUAGUCCACCCCGUAAACGUUGGGAACUAGUUGUGGGGUGCAUUCCGCGGAUUCCGUGACGCAGCUAACGCAUUAAGUUCCCCGCCUGGGGAGUACGGCCGCAAGGCUAAAACUCAAAGGAAUUGACGGGGACCCGCACAAGCGGCGGAGCAUGCGGAUUAAUUCGAUGCAACGCGAAGAACCUUACCAAGGCUUGACAUAUACGAGAACGGGCCAGAAAUGGUCAACUCUUUGGACACUCGUAAACAGGUGGUGCAUGGUUGUCGUCAGCUCGUGUCGUGAGAUGUUGGGUUAAGUCCCGCAACGAGCGCAACCCUCGUUCUAUGUUGCCAGCACGUAAUGGUGGGAACUCAUGGGAUACUGCCGGGGUCAACUCGGAGGAAGGUGGGGAUGACGUCAAAUCAUCAUGCCCCUUAUGUCUUGGGCUUCACGCAUGCUACAAUGGCCGGUACAAAGGGCUGCAAUACCGUGAGGUGGAGCGAAUCCCAAAAAGCCGGUCCCAGUUCGGAUUGAGGUCUGCAACUCGACCUCAUGAAGUCGGAGUCGCUAGUAAUCGCAGAUCAGCAACGCUGCGGUGAAUACGUUCCCGGGUCUUGUACACACCGCCCGGCAAGUCAUGAAAGUCGGUAACACCUGAAGCCGGGAGAGUAYUNCUNYUKSVYSVSKAYAGUVYGKVAUSSKAYAGUVYGKCYCAAGUCGAGCGGCAGCACGGGGAGCUUGCUCCCUGGUGGCGAGCGGCGGACGGGUGAGUAAUGCAUAGGAAUCUGCCCGGUAGUGGGGGAUAACGUGGGGAAACCCACGCUAAUACCGCAUACGUCCUACGGGAGAAAGCGGAGGAUCUUCGGACUUCGCGCUAUCGGAUGAGCCUAUGUCGGAUUAGCUAGUUGGUAAGGUAACGGCUUACCAAGGCGACGAUCCGUAGCUGGUCUGAGAGGAUGAUCAGCCACACUGGGACUGAGACACGGCCCAGACUCCUACGGGAGGCAGCAGUGGGGAAUAUUGGACAAUGGGCGAAAGCCUGAUCCAGCCAUGCCGCGUGUGUGAAGAAGGCUUUCGGGUUGUAAAGCACUUUCAGCGAGGAAGAAGGCCUGGUGGUUAAUACCCAUCAGGAAGGACAUCACUCGCAGAAGAAGCACCGGCUAACUCCGUGCCAGCAGCCGCGGUAAUACGGAGGGUGCGAGCGUUAAUCGGAAUUACUGGGCGUAAAGCGCGCGUAGGUGGCUUGGCACGCCGGUUGUGAAAGCCCCGGGCUCAACCUGGGAACGGCAUCCGGAACGGCCAGGCUAGAGUGCAGGAGAGGAAGGUAGAAUUCCCGGUGUAGCGGUGAAAUGCGUAGAGAUCGGGAGGAAUACCAGUGGCGAAGGCGGCCUUCUGGCCUGACACUGACACUGAGGUGCGAAAGCGUGGGUAGCAAACAGGAUUAGAUACCCUGGUAGUCCACGCCGUAAACGAUGUCGACUAGCCGUUGGGACCUUUAAGGACUUAGUGGCGCAGUUAACGCGAUAAGUCGACCGCCUGGGGAGUACGGCCGCAAGGUUAAAACUCAAAUGAAUUGACGGGGGCCCGCACAAGCGGUGGAGCAUGUGGUUUAAUUCGAUGCAACGCGAAGAACCUUACCUACCCUUGACAUCCUGCGAAUUUGGUAGAGAUACCUUAGUGCCUUCGGGAGCGCAGUGACAGGUGCUGCAUGGCUGUCGUCAGCUCGUGUUGUGAAAUGUUGGGUUAAGUCCCGUAACGAGCGCAACCCUUGUCCUUAUUUGCCAGCACGUAAUGGUGGGAACUCUAAGGAGACUGCCGGUGACAAACCGGAGGAAGGUGGGGACGACGUCAAGUCAUCAUGGCCCUUACGGGUAGGGCUACACACGUGCUACAAUGGCCGGUACAAAGGGUUGCGAGACCGCGAGGUGGAGCGAAUCCCAGAAAGCCGGCCUCAGUCCGGAUCGGAGUCUGCAACUCGACUCCGUGAAGUCGGAAUCGCUAGUAAUCGUGAAUCAGAAUGUCACGGUGAAUACGUUCCCGGGCCUUGUACACACCGCCCGUCACACCAUGGGAGUGGACUGCACCAGAAGUGGUUAGCUUAACCUUCGGGAGAGCGAUCACUAYUNC